UCUGGAUGUAGCCGCUGAUUGGCUGGCUCGGGCGCAGCUUGAUGGCUUCAGCCUGGAGGGCCGUAGUCCCGGCUGCCGCACCAGGGAGAAGGCAGCAUGUGUGAGAGUCGGGUGGCCUCAGCGUGCCGUGGCCUCGGGGAGUGGGAAGUGGAGGCAGCAGCCCUCCUUGCACUUCGCCAUGAGUUUCCUGAUCGACUCCAGCAUCACGAUUACCUCCCAGAUACUGUUUUUUGGAUUUGGGUGGCUUUUCUUCAUGCGCCAAUUGUUUAAGGACUAUGAGGUAACCUCGGUAUGUUGUACAGGUGAUCUUCUCUGAUAUUUGCAUUUUCUUGCACCAUGUUUGAGCUCAUCAUCUUUGAAAUCUUAGGAGUAUUGAAUAGCAGUGCAACAUUGCUGUGCAAAGCAAAGUUGGACCAGGGCAGAGUGAGAUAGCAGAGGAGCUGUGCCAGCGUCUACAGCGAAAGGAAAGGAUGCUGCAGGACCUUCUAAGUGAUCGAAACAAACUAGUGGUGGAAGAUGAAAUGGAGAUUCAAAGCCUGCUUCAGUCUAUGCACGCCAGGGAGCAGGAAAGCCAAAAGAGAGAAGAUGGUGCAAGCCUUAAUGGAAAGAAAUUCAGAAUUACAGGCCCUGUGCCAAUAUUUAGGAGGGAGAGACUCCCUGAUGUCCCAAGCACCCAUCUCUAACCAACAAGCUGAAGUUACCUACAUUGGCCCCUGCUCUUGGAGAAAAGACUGAUCAAUUUUUUAGGGUUCAAUACAGAUACCUUCCAGAGAUGGUAGCACUUCAUUGACUGCCAAAGAGGAUGCCAGCAUACUCAGAUCCACAUUAGGAGACUUGGACACAGUUGCAGGGCUGGAAAAAGAACUGAGUAAUGCCAAAGCGGAAUUUGAACUCAUGGCUAAAAAAGAAAGAAAAAGUCAAUUGCUGCUGAUGCUAGAAGGACUAGUAGAUGAAUGGAGUCAACUCAGUGAGGCCUUACAAGCAGAGAGACAGCUCUGUAGCAGUCUGGUGAAGUUCCAUGCCCAUCCAGAGAGCUCUGAGAGAGACCGAACUCUGCAAGUGGAACUGGAAGGGGCUCAGGUGUUACGCAGUCGGCUAGAAGAAGUUCUUGGAAGAAGCUUGGAGCGCUUAAACAGGCUGGAGACCCUGGCCGCCAUUGGAGGUGGGGAACUGGAAAGUGUGCAAAUUCAUCACAAGCAUGCCUACUGAGCACUGGCGGGUCAGACUGCAGCCCAGGAUGGAAAACCUUGUUUGCAAUAAGCAGAAAGAUCCUUGUCUGACUUUGACAGAAUUAAAUGGUGACUUACCAAUGAUAGAACUGGUACAAGUAGCAUCAACUACAAAGUGAAACUCACUUUAGCCUACAUGGAUCUCACUGUACAUACAUAUUCCUAAAUUGAAUGGUAGAGGUUGCAAAGUGUAUUUGCACAUUUUAAAUCAUUCUGUUUUAGUUUUUCCACUUUUAUUCAUUUGUAUCCCUAGCCCCUUCUCAUUCCCUUGUCCCUUCUGUGGGCCAAUAAAGUUUAUUCUUCCCCCAUUUUCACAAUCCAUUUCAUAUUUUCCAUAUCAUAUCAUAAAUGCAGGUGUGUGUAUUAUUUUUGCCAUUCAGUCAACUCCUCUUUGAGUGACAGCAUUUUUUAAAUUAAAAGAAUACAAGUUUUAAGAUGAGAGAGUGGGAAAGAGAUUGAGAGUCUGUAAGAAUGACUUCGUAAAAGUGAUAUAAUCCUUAUCAGAAGGUAAUCAAAACCAGGAGAGUAGUCUUGUAAUAGUAGACUGCAAGUAUUGGGAAGGCCAAGUUAAAGAACAGAGGCCAAAACUGUGAAAGUUAUCAUAGUAAAUUUUUAUCUCCAAUACUGUCUCAGAGUUGACUGUUGUACACAAGUGAAAUUAGAUUAGGUACAGAUUAAAUUCUAUUUAAAGUUUGUUCUUUAUUGAUACCUUUAGGUUUCUUUAAACUAAAGUCAUGCUAUUUAGUCAGAACAUGACUUCUAGAAUGGUCUUCCAGAGUCAGAAUUCUCUGUCUACAAAGAUAAUUUCAAAUGUAGCAUCCCUUUUUACAUUUAGUGUUUCACCAAAUAACUCAUUAUAGCCAAAGGAGGGUAUUGCUUCAUCCAUUUGUGGCACUAGAUAGGGUCCUAAGUUUUUCACUAUUUAGUAUGUAUACAUUUCUCUAUAUAAAAAGAAGUAAUCGGCUUCAGGCUUUGAAGUGCUCGAAUAGUUUAAAAAGAAAUGUUACAGAUGUAUGUUCAUAGUUUUAAUCAUUGUCUCAAUGCUUUUUUGUGGCAACAUGACAGGUAUAAGGAGAGGGGCACUGGAGAUUGUAUUUCUGAUGUCUUGACAGUCAAGAAUGUGAAAAGUAACCAAAAUUGCUUUGCUGCUUUGUGGGUUCAACAUCAUGAAUUUGUUUUUAUUUCCUCUGGUUUUAAGUUUCCUAGAUUAGAAACUGAGGUUUCAGUUACUUUAAACAUGGAAUUUGGAAACAGCUUUGUAGCAUAAUAAAUGUGACUGAAUACCCUUUCUAAACUAAGUGGGGCACAAUGAU